rnacentral:rRNA from 1 species
GAUGAACGCUAGCGGGAGGCUUAACACAUGCAAGUCGAGGGGCAGCAUAGGGUAGCAAUACUCUGAUGGCGACCGGCAAACGGGUGAGUAACGCGUAUGCAACCUACCCUGUACAGGGGGAUAACCCGGAGAAAUUCGGACUAAUAUCCCGUAAUAAUAUCCGGAGGCAUCUUUGGAUAUUUAAAGUUCCGACGGUACGGGAUGGGCAUGCGUAACAUUAACUGGUUGGUAAGGUAACGGCUUACCAAGGCUAUGAUGUUUAGGGGUCCUGAGAGGGUGGUCCCCCACACUGGUACUGAGACACGGACCAGACUCCUACGGGAGGCAGCAGUGAGGAAUAUUGGUCAAUGGGCGCAAGCCUGAACCAGCCAUCCCGCGUGCAGGAAGACGGCCCUAUGGGUUGUAAACUGCUUUUCCAGGGAGAGAAACUUACGCACGUGUUGCGUGACUGACGGUACCCUGGGAAUAAGCAUCGGCUAACUCCGUGCCAGCAGCCGCGGUAAACGUGCGUG